rnacentral:tRNA from 1 species
GCGCAAGUGGCGGAAUUGGCAGACGCGCCAGGUUGAGGGCCUGGUGGGCAUUUAUGCCCGUGGAGGUUCGAGUCCUCUCUUGCGCA